rnacentral:tRNA from 2 species
CGGGGCGUGGCGCAGCCUGGUAGCGCGCCUCGUUUGGGGCGAGGAGGUCGCUGGUUCGAUUCCAGUCGCCCCGACCA